AGUGAACGCUGGCGGUAGGCCUAACACAUGCAAGUCGAACGGCAGCACAGUAAGAGCUGCUCUUACGGGUGGCGAGUGGCGGACGGGUGAGGAAUACAUCGGAAUCUACUUUUUCGUGGGGGAUAACGUAGGGAAACUUACGCUAAUACCGCAUACGACCUACGGGUGAAAGCAGGGGAUCUUCGGACCUUGCGCGAUUGAAUGAGCCGAUGUCGGAUUAGCUAGUUGGCGGGGUAAAGGCCCACCAAGGCGACGAGCCGUAGCUGGCCUGAGAGUGUGAUCGCCCACAUGGGAACUGAGACACGGUCCAGCCCCCUACGGGAGGCACAAGGGGGAAAUAUUGAACAAGGGCGGCAAGCUUGACCGACCAAACCGGGGUGGGUGAAGAAGGCUUUGGGUUUAAAAACCCUUUUUGUGGGAAAAAAAAAAAGGCGGUAAAAACCCGGCUUUUCCUGACGGUACCAAAGAAAAAACCCCCGGCUAGCUUGGUG
rnacentral:rRNA from 1 species